rnacentral:rRNA from 1 species
AGGGUUUGAUUAUGGCUCAGGACGAACGCUGGCGGUGUGCUUAACACAUGCAAGUCAACGAGAAUUUAUCUUCGGAUAAUAGUAAAGUGGCGAACGGGUGAGUAACGCGUAAAUAACUUGCCUCGGAGAUUGGGACAACAUUGGGAAACCAGUGCUAAUACCAAAUAAUGCAGCGGGCCCUUUGGGGUAUUGUUGUUAAAGUAGGCUUCGGCUUACACUUCGAGAUAGAUUUGCGUCCGAUUAGUUAGUUGGUAGGGUAAUAGCCUACCAAGACCGAGAUCGGUAGCUGGUCUGAGAGGAUGAUCAGCCACACUGGAAUUGAGAUACGGUCCAGACUCCUACGGGAGGCAGCAGUGAGGAAUUUUGCACAAUGGGCGAAAGCCUGAUGCAGCAACACCGCGUGAUUGAUGAAGUUUUUAGGAAUGUAAAAAUCUGUCGUAAGGGAAGAAAUGUUUCGGUUGUUAAUACCAUUCGUUACUGACGGUACCUUACAAGAAAGGACCGGCUAACUUCGUGCCAGCA